GCAAAUGUGCUGUAGUGGUUUGAGUACUGGACUAAGAAACCAGAGACCGGGGUUCAAAUCCUCGCAUGGCCA